UAAGUGCAUAACUGUCCGAACAGAACGACCGUGAUCCUGCCUCUGCCUAAUCACCAAUCGUCGUCUGUCAUGUGGUAGCCGGACCUAAGUCAGAAACAAAUGUCUGCGAUGUGGCAGCUAGGCUCAUGCCAUGAUGAGAUUAUAUAUAUGACACAAUCAUCACUACGUCAUCUAUUUUGACCCUACAUGCUGAAGCUAUACGCUACUCGAAUCUAUAUGUAUACGGCUAGUCAUAUGCCUUCGGGCUAAACUCGGGCACUUACGCUACGACCAGUAAAGAUUCCCCAUCCGUGCUGUCUAUGUGACAUGAGACUGCGAGAUCAAAGAAACCAUUAUGGGCGUUGAAGGACGAAAACAAACAUUAUGGAAAGUGAUAAAAAAUAAAAAGUUACUAGAAAGGACAGGGGGUAUUGAGAAAUUAUUGAACACCCAAGUCCUUAUAAAAGAAAAUUUGAGAUGAAAGGUGGGCUUAUCAUGUAAAUAUGAAACAAUUGGCACACCAGGUUUGGACCCUAAUAAGUUGUCGCUUUACAACAAAGCAAACCUCCCUAUCAAUUAUCAAACACUCCCCCCUGCUGGCUUAUUAGCCGCCUCCGUUCACUGAUAAGCAACCCCCCCGUAAUUAGCCUACCAGACAAUUCUGCUAAUGUCAAGUCAAUUUGACAGACAGAUACUUCGUCGUAUUACUUCUUGUUAAUAAAUUAACUCUCCCUAAUCAUAAAUUUUUUAGUUCUCCCAUCUACGUACAAAACAAAUACCUUCCAUAUCAUUGUCAUGUCACAAACUUAUAAGUCCAUCGUAAUAACUCAUAAAAUGUAACCUAACACACUCGUUGACAAGACUCAUACAAUGUCAGAAACUUAUUUGUUCUAUGAAUCAACAACAAUCGACUCCAUUAGAACUAACAAGGCUCGUCAUCCUCCCUAGAUAACCUUUCUUCCUAUUAAUGCAAUUUUUGGGUUUAACAUUCCCUUUUUGAGACUCCACUGAUUAGGAAAGCAAUCUCUUAAUAAUGUUAACAAACUUUGUGUUUCUUUUGUUUUGACAUAAAUAGACUUUUUGGGGAGGUAAGAAAAUAAUAAACAAAAACAAAAAGAAAUGAAUCAUCAGUUUAAAAAAUGAGAAUUACAGCAACACUCUCGAAAAAUAUCAAGGACCAUGAAAACCACUAAAUAGACGAUCUCAUUAUCAUUUUUCGUUGUACCAUUUCUCAAAUUCCGACAAGCCAAAAUCUUUAAAGGCUAACUCCUCCUUUAUUAUUAAUGGGCAAAGCUAGUCCAAUUAACUUUCCAACUUUCCCAUCCUCUUUCCAAACAAGGCUAUUUGAGAGGCCUCUCACUUUCUUCUAAUAGAGAUUGGCCAACAAAAAUUUAAUUAUGAGAAAGUUAAAUACGAUUCCAUAAUCAAUUUUUUAAAACAAUAUUAUUAUUUUGGAAAUAUAUAAAUCAGAACGGGAAAAUAUGGAAUAUAUAAUAUUUGAAUGCAAAUGGCAAUUAUUAAAUAGCUGUAGAAAUAAAUAAAAUGAGCAAUUGACUAAUACACGUCAGCACGUGACUCCACCUUUAUAUAAUAAUAAUUUCCCCGUUGCCCCUGUCCAUCUCACAGUCGCAGUCCAACUCCAACUCACAGAAAAAAUUGCAGCGAAAUCUCUCUCUUUAAUCUUUAUAUAUCUGCUCUCCCGUGGAUCAGAGUUUCUCUCUAUCUCCGAAUGUUUCGCUCGAUUCUGUUGAGAUUUUUCCUGCUCUUAAUAGAUUGUGGAAACCCUAAGCUGGCUGCUCUGAUCACCGUUUAGGAAGGGGAAGACGAACACUCUUCUCUGGAAUCCUUUUCUGAAUCAAACUCCCCUUCUUUCCCCCAUUUAUAAAUAUACAUUAGAGAGAGUGGCGAAGUGGAGAAGGGAGUGAGAGGAAGAGGUGACGAAGCGUAUUGCUGUAUGUCAGUAGAUUGUAAAGAGUCUUACCUUGGUGGAAUUGGUGAGCUUGCGAAUCCCUUGCAAUGGCCUCAGCUCAGGAAAAAGCGAAGAUUCCUUCCUCUUCUUCUUCUUCUUCUAAUUCUGCCUGCUGUGGUGGAGAUUCCCGUUCUGUUAUUCCCCGUCAGGCUUCUGUCACUCAGUCCCCUGUUCCUGAGAAUGCCGUCCAGGAUUGGACUGUUCCUCCCGCCGAUCGUCGCCGGAGAGACGAUCAGAUCGGCGUCAAGGCUAUCACGCCCUUGAUUGCUCCUCCGGUCGACUCCCUUCCUGAAUCUUCAGCCAAUUUGGCCGCCAAAGGUACUCCCC
rnacentral:lncRNA from 1 species